rnacentral:misc_RNA from 1 species
GAUGAAGAACGUAGCGAAAUGCGAUACGUAAUGUGAAUUGCAGAAUUCAGUGAAUCAUCGAGUCUUUGAACGCACAUUGCGCCCCCUGGUAUUCCGGGGGGCAUGCCUGUCCGAGCGUCAUUGCUGCCCUCAAGCACGGCUUGUGUGUUGGGCCUCCGUCCUCCUCCCGGGGGACGGGCCCGAAAGGCAGCGGCGGCACCGCGUCCGGUCCUCGAGCGUAUGGGGCUUCGUCACCCGCUCUUGUAGGCCCGGCCGGCGCUUGCCGACACAUCAAUCUUUCUUCCAGGUUGACCUCGGAUCAGGUAGGGAUACCCGCUGAACUUAAGCAUAUCAAUAAGCGGAGGA